AGUGAACGCUGGCGGUAGGCCUAACACAUGCAGGUCGAACGGCAGCACAGUAAGAGCUUGCUCUUACGGGUGGCGAGUGGCGGACGGGUGAGGAAUACAUCGGAAUCUACUUUUUCGUGGGGGAUAACGUAGGGAAACUUACGCUAAUACCGCAUACGACCUACGGGUGAAAGCAGGGGAUCUUCGGACCUUGCGCGAUUGAAUGAGCCGAUGUCGGAUUAGCUAGUUGGCGGGGUAAAGGCCCACCAAGGCGACGAUCCGUAGCUGGUCUGAGAGGAUGAUCAGCCACACUGGAACUGAGACGCGGUCCAGACUCCUACGGGAGGCAGCAGUGGGGAAUAUUGGACAAUGGGCGCAAGCCUGAUCCAGCCAUACCGCGUGGGUGAAGAAGGCCUUCGGGUUGUAAAGCCCUUUUGUUGGGAAAGAAAAGCAGCAGGUUAAUACCCCGCUGUUCUGACGGUACCCAAAGAAUAAGCACCGGCUAACUUCGUG
rnacentral:rRNA from 1 species